UCUGCGGUCGAAUGGCAACAUCUUGGACGAAAUGUGUCAUACAUACGAGUCUUCCCACUGCACAUUGGGCCGGACAACCGAAUUAUUGGCGUAAAAUUGAAAAAUUAAGUUAGAGAAAUCUCCUUUACGCAUCUCGCAUUGUGCAAUGCUUACCUAACCUCGCUAACCUAGAAGGUCGCGCUAAUUCGGGCGGAAGAAAAUUACAAUUCUAUGACUUGGAGUUCUUAAAGGAAGCACACAGAAAACUAGAAAAACAUCUCAAAUUACUACUGUUACGGCCUAUUGUAAAGGACUGCAUUAAGCAUACGCUCGUGGCGUAUGUGUUAUGUUUCAACCGGAAGAAAAUUACAAUUCAAUGAUUUGGAGUUCUUAAAGGAAGCACACAGAAAACUAGAAAAACAUCUCCAAUUACUACUGUUACGGCCUAUUGUAAAGGUAUCUGAUCCAGUAAACAUCCAUGCAAAAUGUAAACAGUUUGUAAUUAAAGGACUGCAUUAAGCAUACGCUCGUGGCGUAUGUGUUAUGUUUCAACCGGAAGAAAAUUACAGUUCUAUGACUUAUAGUUCUUAAAGGAAGCACACAGAAAACUAGAAAAACAUCUCCAAUUACUUCUGUUACGGCCUAUUGUAAAGGUAUCUGAUCCAGUAAACAUCCGUACUCUUAUUUUCUAAUUUCCACUGCAGGUUCUUAAAGGAAGCACACAGAAAACUAGAAAAACAUCUCCAAUUACAACUGUUACGGCCUAUUGUAAAGGUAUCUGAUCCAGUAAACAUCCAUGCAAAAUGUAAACAGUUUGUAAUUAAAGGACUGCAUUAAGCAUACGCUCGUGGCGUAUGUGUUAUGUUUCAACCGGAAGAAAAUUACAGUUCUAUGACUUAUAGUUCUUAAAGGAAGCACACAGAAAACUAGAAAAACAUCUCCAAUUACUUCUGUUACGGCCUAUUGUAAAGGUAUCUGAUCCAGUAAACAUCCGUACUCUUAUUUUCUAAUUUCCACUGCAGGUUCUUAAAGGAAGCACACAGAAAACUAGAAAAACAUCUCCAAUUACUACUGUUACGGCCUAUUGUAAAUGUAUCUGAUCCAGUAAACAUCCAUGCAAAAUGUAAACAGUUUGUAAUUAAAGGACUGCAUUAAGCAUACGCUCGUGGCGUAUGUGUUAUGUUUCAACCGGAAGAAAAUUACAGUUCUAUGACUUAUAGUUCUUAAAGGAAGCACACAGAAAACUAGAAAAACAUCUCCAAUUACUACUGUUACGGCCUAUUGUUCUUAAAGGAAGCACACAGAAAACUAGAAAAACAUCUCCAAUUACUACUGUUACGGCCUAUUGUAAAGGUUCUUAAAGGAAGCACACAGAAAACUAGAAAAACAUCUCCAAUUACUACUGUUACGGCCUAUUGUUCUUAAAGGAAGCACACAGAAAACUAGAAAAACAUCUCCAAUUACUACUGUUACGGCCUAUUGUAAAGGUUCUUAAAGGAAGCACACAGAAAACUAGAAAAACAUCUCCAAUUACUACUGUUACGGCCUAUUGUUCUUAAAGGAAGCACACAGAAAACUAGAAAAACAUCUCCAAUUACUACUGUUACGGCCUAUUGUAAAGGUAUCUGAUCCAGUAAACAUCCGUACUCUUAUUUUCUAAUUUCCACUGCAGGUUCUUAAAGGAAGCACACAGAAAACUAGAAAAACAUCUCCAAUUACUACUGUUACGGCCUAUUGUAAAGGUAUCUGAUCCAGUAAACAUCCGUACUCUUAUUUUCUAAUUUCCACUGCAGGUUCUUAAAGGAAGCACACAGAAAACUAGAAAAACAUCUCCAAUUACUACUGUUACGGCCUAUUGUAAAGGUAUCUGAUCCAGUAAACAUCCGUACUCUUAUUUUCUAAUUUCCACUGCAGGUUCUUAAAGGAAGCACACAGAAAGCUAGAAAAACAUCUCCAAUUACUACUGUUACGGCCUAUUGUAAAGGUAUCUGAUCCAGUAAACAUCCGUACUCUUAUUUUCUAAUUUCCACUGCAGGUUCUUAAAGGAAGCACACAGAAAACUAGAAAAACAUCUCCAAUUACUACUGUUACGGCCUAUUGUAAAGGUAUCUGAUCCAGUAAACAUCCGUACUCUUAUUUUCUAAUUUCCACUGCAGGUUCUUAAAGGAAGCACACAGAAAACUAGAAAAACAUCUCCAAUUACUACUGUUACGGCCUAUUGUAAAGGUAUCUGAUCCAGUAAACAUCCGUACUCUUAUUUUCUAAUUUCCACUGCAGGUUCUUAAAGGAAGCACACAGAAAACUAGAAAAACAUCUCCAAUUACUACUGUUACGGCCUAUUGUAAAGGUAUCUGAUCCAGUAAACAUCCGUACUCUUAUUUUCUAAUUUCCACUGCAGGUUUUUAAAGAAAGCACACAGAAAACUAGAAAAACAUCUCCAAUUACUACUGUUACGGCCUAUUGUAAAGGUUCUUAAAGGAAGCACACAGAAAACUAGAAAACAUCUCCAAUUACUACUGUUUCGGCCUAUUGUAAAGGUAUCUGAUCCAGUAAACAUCCGUACUCUUAUUUUCUAAUUUCCACUGCAGGUUCUUAAAGGAAGCACACAGAAAACUAGAAAAACAUCUCCAAUUACUACUGUUACGGUCUAUUGUAAAGGUAUCUGAUCCAGUAAACAUCCGUACUCUUAUUUUCUAAUUUCCACUGCAUGUUCUUAAAGGAAGCACACAGAAAACUAGAAAAACAUCUCCAAUUACUACUGUUACGGCCUAUUGUAAAGGUAUCUGAUCCAGUAAACAUCCGUACUCUUAUUUUCUAAUUUCCACUGCAGGUUUUUAAAGAAAGCACACAGAAAACUAGAAAAACAUCUCCAAUUACUACUGUUACGGCCUAUUGUAAAGGUAUCUGAUCCAGUAAACAUCCGUACUCUUAUUUUCUAAUUUCCACUGCAGGUUCUUAAAGGAAGCACACAGAAAACUAGAAAAACAUCUCCAAUUACUACUGUUACGGCCUAUUGUAAAGGUUUUUAAAGAAAGCACACAGAAAACUAGAAAAACAUCUCCAAUUACUACUGUUACGGCCUAUUGUAAAGGUAUCUGAUCCAGUAAACAUCCGUACUCUUAUUUUCUAAUUUCCACUGCAGGUUCUUAAAGGAAGCACACAGAAAACUAGAAAACAUCUCCAAUUACUACUGUUUCGGCCUAUUGUAAAGGUAUCUGAUCCAGUAAACAUCCGUACUCUUAUUUUCUAAUUUCCACUGCAGGUUCUUAAAGGAAGCACACAGAAAACUAGAAAAACAUCUCCAAUUACUACUGUUACGGUCUAUUGUAAAGGUAUCUGAUCCAGUAAACAUCCGUACUCUUAUUUUCUAAUUUCCACUGCAGGUUCUUAAAGGAAGCACACAGAAAACUAGAAAAACAUCUCCAAUUACUACUGUUACGGCCUAUUGUAAAGGUAUCUGAUCCAGUAAACAUCCGUACUCUUAUUUUCUAAUUUCCACUGCAGGUUCUUAAAGGAAGCACACAGAAAACUAGAAAAACAUCUCCAAUUACUACUGUUACGGCCUAUUGUAAAGGUAUCUGAUCCAGUAAACAUCCGUACUCUUAUUUUCUAAUUUCCACUGCAGGUUCUUAAAGGAAGCACACAGAAAACUAGAAAAACAUCUCCAAUUACUACUGUUACGGCCUAUUGUAAAGGUUCUUAAAGGAAGCACACAGAAAACUAGAAAAACAUCUCCAAUUACUACUGUUACGGCCUAUUGUAAAGGUAUCUGAUCCAGUAAACAUCCGUACUCUUAUUUUCUAAUUUCCACUGCAGGUUUUUAAAGAAAGCACACAGAAAACUAGAAAAACAUCUCCAAUUACUACUGUUACGGCCUAUUGUAAAGGUAUCUGAUCCAGUAAACAUCCGUACUCUUAUUUUCUAAUUUCCACUGCAGGUUCUUAAAGGAAGCACACAGAAAACUAGAAAACAUCUCCAAUUACUACUGUUUCGGCCUAUUGUAAAGGUAUCUGAUCCAGUAAACAUCCGUACUCUUAUUUUCUAAUUUCCACUGCAGGUUCUUAAAGGAAGCACACAGAAAACUAGAAAAACAUCUCCAAUUACUACUGUUACGGUCUAUUGUAAAGGUAUCUGAUCCAGUAAACAUCCGUACUCUUAUUUUCUAAUUUCCACUGCAGGUUCUUAAAGGAAGCACACAGAAAACUAGAAAAACAUCUCCAAUUACUACUGUUACGGCCUAUUGUAAAGGUAUCUGAUCCAGUAAACAUCCGUACUCUUAUUUUCUAAUUUCCACUGCAGGUUCUUAAAGGAAGCACACAGAAAACUAGAAAAACAUCUCCAAUUACUACUGUUACGGCCUAUUGUAAAGGUAUCUGAUCCAGUAAACAUCCGUACUCUUAUUUUCUAAUUUCCACUGCAGGUUCUUAAAGGAAGCACACAGAAAACUAGAAAAACAUCUCCAAUUACUACUGUUACGGCCUAUUGUAAAGGUAUCUGAUCCAGUAAACAUCCGUACUCUUAUUUUCUAAUUUCCACUGCAGGUUCUUAAAGGAAGCACACAGAAAACUAGAAAAACAUCUCCAAUUACUACUGUUACGGCCUAUUGUAAAGGUAUCUGAUCCAGUAAACAUCCGUACUCUUAUUUUCUAAUUUCCACUGCAGGUUCUUAAAGGAAGCACACAGAAAACUAGAAAAACAUCUCCAAUUACUACUGUUACGGCCUAUUGUAAAGGUAUCUGAUCCAGUAAACAUCCGUACUCUUAUUUUCUAAUUUCCACUGCAGGUUCUUAAAGGAAGCACACAGAAAACUAGAAAAACAUCUCCAAUUACUACUGUUACGGCCUAUUGUAAAGGUAUCUGAUCCAGUAAACAUCCGUACUCUUAUUUUCUAAUUUCCACUGCAGGUUCUUAAAGGAAGCACACAGAAAACUAGAAAAACAUCUCCAAUUACUACUGUUACGGCCUAUUGUAAAGGUAUCUGAUCCAGUAAACAUCCGUACUCUUAUUUUCUAAUUUCCACUGCAGGUUCUUAAAGGAAGCACACAGAAAACUAGAAAAACAUCUCCAAUUACUACUGUUACGGCCUAUUGUAAAGGUAUCUGAUCCAGUAAACAUCCGUACUCUUAUUUUCUAAUUUCCACUGCAGGUUCUUAAGGAAGCACACAGAAAACUAGAAAAACAUCUCCAAUUACUACUGUUACGGCCUAUUGUAAAGGAAGCACACAGAAAACUAGAAAAACAUCUCCAAUUACUACUGUUACGGCCUAUUGUAAAGGUUCUUAAAGGAAGCACACAGAAAACUAGAAAAACAUCUCCAAUUACUACUGUUACGGCCUAUUGUAAAGGUAUCUGAUCCAGUAAACAUCCGUACUCUUAUUUUCUAAUUUCCACUGCAGGUUCUUAAAGGAAGCACACAGAAAACUAGAAAAACAUCUCCAAUUACUACUGUUACGGCCUAUUGUAAAGGUAUCUGAUCCAGUAAACAUCCGUACUCUUAUUUUCUAAUUUCCACUGCAGGUUCUUAAAGGAAGCACACAGAAAACUAGAAAAACAUCUCCAAUUACUACUGUUACGGUCUAUUGUAAAGGUAUCUGAUCCAGUAAACAUCCGUACUCUUAUUUUCUAAUUUCCACUGCAGGUUCUUAAGGAAGCACACAGAAAACUAGAAAAACAUCUCCAAUUACUACUGUUACGGCCUAUUGUAAAGGUAUCUGAUCCAGUAAACAUCCGUACUCUUAUUUUCUAAUUUCCACUGCAGGUUCUUAAAGGAAGCACACAGAAAACUAGAAAAACAUCUCCAAUUACUACUGUUACGGCCUAUUGUAAAGGUAUCUGAUCCAGUAAACAUCCGUACUCUUAUUUUCUAAUUUCCACUGCAGGUUCUUAAAGGAAGCACACAGAAAACUAGAAAAACAUCUCCAAUUACUACUGUUACGGCCUAUUGUAAAGGUAUCUGAUCCAGUAAACAUCCGUACUCUUAUUUUCUAAUUUCCACUGCAGGUUCUUAAAGGAAGCACACAGAAAACUAGAAAAACAUCUCCAAUUACUACUGUUACGGCCUAUUGUAAAGGUAUCUGAUCCAGUAAACAUCCGUACUCUUAUUUUCUAAUUUCCACUGCAGGUUCUUAAAGGAAGCACACAGAAAACUAGAAAAACAUCUCCAAUUACUACUGUUACGGCCUAUUGUAAAGGUUCUUAAAGGAAGCACACAGAAAACUAGAAAAACAUCUCCAAUUACUACUGUUACGGCCUAUUGUAAAGGUAUCUGAUCCAGUAAACAUCCGUACUCUUAUUUUCUAAUUUCCACUGCAGGUUCUUAAAGGAAGCACACAGAAAACUAGAAAAACAUCUCCAAUUACUACUGUUACGGCCUAUUGUAAAGGUUCUUAAAGGAAGCACACAGAAAACUAGAAAAACAGCUCCAAUUACUACUGUUACGGCCUAUUGUAAAGGUAUCUGAUCCAGUAAACAUCCGUACUCUUAUUUUCUAAUUUCCACUGCAGGUUCUUAAAGGAAGCACACAGAAAACUAGAAAAACAUCUCCAAUUACUACUGUUACGGCCUAUUGUAAAGGUAUCUGAUCCAGUAAACAUCCGUACUCUUAUUUUCUAAUUUCCACUGCAGGUUCUUAAGGAAGCACACAGAAAACUAGAAAAACAUCUCCAAUUACUACUGUUACGGCCUAUUGUAAAGGUAUCUGAUCCAGUAAACAUCCGUACUCUUAUUUUCUAAUUUCCACUGCAGGUUCUUAAAGGAAGCACACAGAAAACUAGAAAAACAUCUCCAAUUACUACUGUUACGGCCUAUUGUAAAGGUUCUUAAAGGAAGCACACAGAAAACUAGAAAAACAUCUCCAAUUACUACUGUUACGGCCUAUUGUAAAGGUAUCUGAUCCAGUAAACAUCCGUACUCUUAUUUUCUAAUUUCCACUGCAGGUUCUUAAAGGAAGCACACAGAAAACUAGAAAAACAUCUCCAAUUACUACUGUUACGGCCUAUUGUAAAGGACUGCAUUAAGCAUACGCUCGUGGCGUAAGUGUUAUGUUUCAACCGGAAGAAAAUUACAAUUCUAUGAUUUGGAGUUCUUAAAGGAAGCACACAGAAAACUAGAAAAACAGCUCCAAUUACUACUGUUACGGCCUAUUGUAAAGGUAUCUGAUCCAGUAAACAUCCGUACUCUUAUUUUCUAAUUUCCACUGCAGGUUCUUAAAGGAAGCACACAGAAAACUAGAAAAACAUCUCCAAUUACUACUGUUACGGCCUAUUGUAAAGGUAUCUGAUCCAGUAAACAUCCGUACUCUUAUUUUCUAAUUUCCACUGCAGGUUCUUAAGGAAGCACACAGAAAACUAGAAAAACAUCUCCAAUUACUACUGUUACGGCCUAUUGUAAAGGUAUCUGAUCCAGUAAACAUCCAUGCAAAAUGUAAACAGUUUGUGAUUAAAGGACUGCAUUAAGCAUACGCUCGUGGCGUAAGUGUUAUGUUUCAACCGGAAGAAAAUUACAAUUCUAUGAUUUAUAGUUCUUAAAGGAAGCACACAGAAAACUAGAAAAACAUCUCCAAUUGCUACUGUUACGGCCUAUUGUAAAGGUAUCUGAUCCAGUAAACAUCCGUACUCUUAUUUUCUAAUUUCCACUGCAGGUUCUUAAAGGAAGCACACAGAAAACUAGAAAAACAUCUCCAAUUACUACUUUUACGGCCUAUUGUAAAGGUAUCUGAUCCAGUAAACAUCCGUACUCUUAUUUUCUAAUUUCCACUGCAGGUUCUUAAAGGAAGCACACAGAAAACUAGAAAAACAUCUCCAAUUACUACUGUUACGGCCUAUUGUAAAGGUAUCUGAUCCAGUAAACAUCCGUACUCUUAUUUUCUAAUUUCCACUGCAGGUUCUUAAGGAAGCACACAGAAAACUAGAAAAACAUCUCCAAUUACUACUGUUACGGCCUAUUGUAAAGGUUCUUAAAGGAAGCACACAGAAAACUAGAAAAACAUCUCCAAUUACUACUGUUACGGCCUAUUGUAAAGGUAUCUGAUCCAGUAAACAUCCGUACUCUUAUUUUCUAAUUUCCACUGCAGGUUCUUAAAGGAAGCACACAGAAAACUAGAAAAACAUCUCCAAUUACUACUGUUACGGCCUAUUGUAAAGGUAUCUGAUCCAGUAAACAUCCGUACUCUUAUUUUCUAAUUUCCACUGCAGGUUCUUAAAGGAAGCACACAGAAAACUAGAAAAAUAUCUCCAAUUACUACUGUUACGGCCUAUUGUAAAGGUUCUUAAGGAAGCACACAGAAAACUAGAAAAACAUCUCCAAUUACUACUGUUACGGCCUAUUGUAAAGGUUCUUAAAGGAAGCACACAGAAAACUAGAAAAACAGCUCCAAUUACUACUGUUACGGCCUAUUGUAAAGGUUCUUAAAGGAAGCACACAGAAAACUAGAAAAACAUCUCCAAUUACUACUGUUACGGCCUAUUGUAAAGGUUCUUAAAGGAAGCACACAGAAAACUAGAAAAACAUCUCCAAUUACUACUGUUACGGCCUAUUGUAAAGGUAUCUGAUCCAGUAAACAUCCGUACUCUUAUUUUCUAAUUUCCACUGCAGGUUCUUAAAGGAAGCACACAGAAAACUAGAAAAACAUCUCCAAUUACUACUGUUACGGCCUAUUGUAAAGGUAUCUGAUCCAGUAAACAUCCGUACUCUUAUUUUCUAAUUUCCACUGCAGGUUCUUAAAGGAAGCACACAGAAAACUAGAAAAACAUCUCCAAUUACUACUGUUACGGCCUAUUGUAAAGGUUCUUAAAGGAAGCACACAGAAAACUAGAAAAACAUCUCCAAUGACUGCUGUUGAGGCCUAUUGUUAAGGGAUCUGAUCCAGUAAACAUCCAUGCAAAAUGUAUACAUAAUGAAGGAUCAACGAUUGUGAGAAAGCAGCUUUAUUCUCUACAGUAGCAAUGGAAAAGAUGUCGAUACAAACUGAAUUUCAACGCACCUCUGGCGGUGCGACUAUUUCCUCGAACUACAGCCUCGUUCCAAAUGACUUAAGCCAGAAACAGAUGUACAAGCCAAUCGGCUCGUCCUGGUUCAUGAGUAUAACUUGCCUCCGCUACAGUGGCAACUGGUUCGGAUCGUUCCUGUGAUUGCUGGCCACGAUAGUCAAAUCCGAGUGGUAGAUUUCAAAACAGCAAAAGGAGUUUUUCUUCACGUAAUCCACAAGGUUGCCCCUAAAUCAGAAUAUUUAUGUACAUGUAAUCGUACCGCCAUUGUCCUCGAGUCCAAUUGCCCAAGACGCUGGUAUUCCGUGAGUCGGUAAAGUUUCUACCACUUGCUUACUAAGACGUCAUCGUAUUGGGACAAUCCACUCGAUGCGGGGACUGGGGUGCAGCCGAAAACAUAUGCCGAGCGAGCGACAAAAGUUCGAAAAUUAAAAGUUUCCGCUGCGGCUCUGCCAGAAAGUAUGGAAAAGUCGCAGACUCAGAUGGAGAACCGGAGGAGAAGCGGGAUAUGGAUACGGAUACAGAGAAGCGACUGCGGCAAACGAACUGCAAAUGUGCAGGCGUAUUCGUGUAUGGAAAACCGUAAUUAUGACGCUUGUUAGGAGCUACCCCUUGGAUAUGGGAAACAUUGGACUGGAGCCAGCGAAUGGGUCUCCAUGUGGCUGAAGAUGUUUGGAUGCUGGCGGCGGCUGAGAGCAAAGAAGCAGUCUGGGAUUAGCCCUCCCACAGAAACCCACAAAAUGGCAGGGAAAAACACGACAGCCAAACAAAAAAAAAACGAAAAAAAAAACUUGCACGAUAUUCUGUGGAUAGAAGUUGAAAAUAAGGAGUUUCGCAGCAAUGUAAAUGCAACUUUAACUUCUCAUUCCCGCAACAAGAGUUCGGGGUUACAGGUUGCUCUGGUUUUGACUGUUUCCUGUUGUUUUUGACAAACAAGGAGAGCACACUCGUUCCUCGUAAGUAAAAUAGGUUGUAAUAAGAGCAGUUAACAACAUGAGCGAGGCCAAGGCGAGCGGAACACGACGAGGCCAAGACACCUGAACGUCACGGCACAAACGUGUGUACAGUGGAGAUGCCUUCUAAUGGACAGAAGGAGCUGCGUUGACACAUCGCAUAGAAGUACCCUAAGAACGUAGUAAAUCUUAAGAACGAAAUGGAAAGUUUAAUGGAACGAAAAAGUCCCAUGUUGAAAAGUGUAUUGAAAAUUUGAGAGGAUUAAAAAGGUGUGCAUGCAUCUUAAGGGAAAGCAUAGAAAAGAGCCAACUUGUAAUAGCCCACACUCACUGUACCUAUGCCAAAACCGCUACAGGGGCUCUGCCCUGUGCCACAGAGCAUGGAAAGCAGCGGCAGGGACCGAGGGAGCGCUCCUGACAACUGACAACUCCUUUAAAAUGUAGUUACUGUUGUUAUUAUUCAACCUUAAUGAACUUAACAAGCUCGCACAACGACGACGACGACGACGACGGCUACGAGGACGAAGACGACAUGCUGCCAGGCCGGCAGCAGUCGGACACAGGAAUCCCGCCCCCACCUAUAGACCACCAAGCCCACCUCCACACAAGCAGCCAGUCAGACAGACAGACAGACAGACGAGCAAGUCAAACAUAGAGGGAAAGGCAGAGACAGGGAAAGAGUGGAAGAAUGGAAGAGGACGCUCUCAAUGGCGCAGGGUCACGUAACUCAAAUAAAGCGCCAAAGCCACCAGCCGCAAAAAAAAUCACAAAAGAACCAAAGGAAAACAACAAAAUGAAGCGAAGACAGGGCAGGACAGUGCACGCCGCCAAGGGAUUGAGCGGCACAGGCCACCUUUACGCCCUGUCCCAUGCACAUUAUGCAUUUUGGCCCUCGCCAAAGCCGAGGAAAAUUAAAAAUGUUUCACAAAUAUUGGGAGAACGAGGCCGGAACACAGAGAGCGGAACGCUGCGGACGGGCUCGCAAGGCAAGAGCUUAAACGGAUAUGAUUAUUGUAUUUCGUAUCGAUUGCAUCAAUUAUUGAGGUGUACUCUGAAAUUAGCCGCAGCAUACUUCAGAAUAUUCUUUUCAAACAUAUGAAGUUGGGAUUUGAUAGAUUGAUGGCAAUGCCAACUUAAUUUUCCGAAAGCUCUGCCACUCUUCACUUAUUCUUGACCUACGGCUACACUUUUACAUUUUAGACUUUAUAGACCUUAAUAGAAAAGAAACAGGCCCCUCCCCUGAUUUAAAUUAGCUGAAUUUAAUUGCCUAUAGAGCGAUAUAAAUUAUUCUGAUCAUGAAAUCUCAAAGAAGGGUCUACACGGGGCUGAUUCGAAUACUUUUCCUUCAUGGGCGUAUUUUCCCAGCUUCAAGAGAUCUGACUAUGACAGUUUCGUAAAGGUUAUUUUAUUCAAACGAAAUAAUCGAAAUUCAUACUACAACAAUUCUCAAUAAGAAGUCCUUGCCUUUCAACUCAGAUCGAUUCGAGAUUCGGGCUGUCAAGUUCUGGGUUUGGGGCUCAGCCAGAAAUGUUUCAGUUACGUCGAGUAGUUCUCCGAGAGAACACGUAGUAUACAAAUUUUGUGUGUGUAGAACAAAAAAACGCCGCGCUGCAACGAGGUUGGAUGUGCAAUACGGUCAGGUGGAAGGUUGAACUAGACGUCCCGCAGAGCCCUUGCAUGUAACCUCCACUUCACAACCACCAUCGAAGAUAUCCCGGCCAUCAAUUUGCCAAAAGUGCUCAAAGCCUCUUCGGGAGUUCUUUAAAGUGAGAUCUCUGCCCUUCUCAAGGAUCUUGCCACACCAAGUGCAAUGCGGGUCGCCUCAGAUACUUUACGCCUGCGUUGUAGCAUCCUAAAAUUUUAGUGAAACUUUUACGUAGACUAUAUACGGAUAGAAUCGAUGCGGACUCGAAAAUGUACUUGGACCAUUCAUUGACGCUGAUUUAGAUUUGGGAUGUGGAGGACUACUGGGGAUACCACAAUAAAAAAAACGCGCUUAGAACUUUUCCUCUAUGGUGGUGUGGAAAAGACUUUAUAACACUUCCAAGCAUAACCAUAUAAUUAAAGAACUAUUUGUCUGACAAAACA